GUGUGUGUGGGCGUCUCAUUAGUAGUCACGACUGUGGCUCCAUUUCUCUCUCGGGCGCGCACACAUGCACACACGCACAUGCACACGGUGGAGUUCCACACCACUCAGGCCCAGGGCUACACUCAAGUGUUUUAUGGUUAAAGCACACCAUGCACUAUUUAACCAGAACACUUGUGUGGAAGAUAACGGAAGCGUGGCCGCGGUGUAGGUUACUAAAAUAGGCAUGGCCUCUGUGUAAGCUAAUAGUGGGGGCGUGGCUUCUCCAUAUUGCUAAUUAUAGUGGCGUUAGCUAUGCGUGUCCUAAUGGUGGAGGCGCGGCCUCCGUGUUUCCUGGAAUGAAGUGACCCUGGAAUGAAAGAAAGAAAGAAAGAAAGAAAGAAAGAAAGACGUUCAGUCUUGCAGAGGUAUAAAUAAGGAGAAGUGUAGAGAGAAAGCGGAACAAAGAGAGAUAAGGGUAUGGAGAGAGUGCCGGGGUGUGGACGUCUCAUCGUCUCAUGUGUCAUAGUCAUGGCUGGGAGAUUUACAGAGAUAAGAGAGGAAGAAGAGGGCAAAAACAAUGAGGACAAGAGAAUAUUUCAUAUAUAAGGCGGCAAAGAUGAUGAACACGAGAAAUGCAUAAACGGAAAAGAAAAUGGAAGAAGUCCUAACACGCUGCCCUGAGACACUCCACUCAUCACAGAGCCAAACCAGCAUUCAUCACCCAACGGGACCGAGCUCAAUGCAAAACCACAACCAUGGAGACCUCCAGAGUAUCAGUAUCUGAAUGGUCAAUGAAGGACGAGUGUUUUUGGAGGGUUUUUUUGUUCAUCUUGUCUUACCUUGACCCCUGGAGCGACCCCAUCUUCAGCUGUGCUUUGUCCAUUCUGGGGGGAAAAAGAAAGACAUUUUUCAGAAUACCGGUGUUUAUAAUUGCUGACAUAAAAGGUGUGUUCGGCAUGCAGACACAUGUCUAAUCAUCACUAGUAGCACAGCAGGAUCCCCUCCCCUCCCCCCAGCUCAGCCCAAUUCCUCUGUAACGUCCAUAUUGUAUUGUAUAAUAAAGAAAAAUAUUACAAUGUGCAUAAAACUGUUUGCUCCACCUCGUCCACCUGCGCCACUGAAAAAAGAAACCGGUUUAGAAGA